rnacentral:rRNA from 1 species
GACGAACGCUGGCGGCGUGCUUAACACAUGCAAGUCGAACGGAAAGGCCCUGCUUUUGUGGGGUGCUCGAGUGGCGAUCGGGUGAGUAACACGUGAGUAACCUGCCCUUGACUUUGGGAUAACUUCAGGAGACUGGGGCUAAUACCGGAUAGGAGCUCCUGCUGCAUGGUGGGGGUUGGAAAGUUUCGGCGGUUGGGGAUGGACUCGCGGCUUAUCAGCUUGUUGGUGGGGUAGUGGCUUACCAAGGCUUUGACGGGUAGCCGGCCUGAGAGGGUGACCGGCCACAUUGGGACUGAGAUACGGCCCAGACUCCUACGGGAGGCAGCAGUGGGGAAUAUUGCACAAUGGGCGGAAGCCUGAUGCAGCAACGCCGCGUGCGGGAUGACGGCCUUCGGGUUGUAAACCGCUUUCGCCUGUGACGAAGCGUGAGUGACGGUAAUGGGUAAAGAAGCACCGGCUAACUACGUG